rnacentral:piRNA from 1 species
UGGUAGCUUACUGGAGUCUGUAACUCCAAGU